rnacentral:rRNA from 1 species
UACGGAGGAUCCAAGCGUUAUCCGGAUUUAUUGGGUUUAAAGGGUCCGUAGGCGGGACAAUAAGUCAGUGGUGAAAGCCUAUAGCUUAACUAUAGAACUGCCAUUGAUACUGUUGUUCUUGAAUAUACUUGAAGUGGGCGGAAUAAGUCAUGUAGCGGUGAAAUGCUUAGAUAUGACUUAGAACACCGAUUGCGAAGGCAGCUCACUAAAUUAUUAUUGACGCUGAGGGACGAAAGCGUGGGGAGCGAAC